rnacentral:rRNA from 1 species
CCUACGGGAGGCUGCAGUGAGGAAUAUUGGUCAAUGGACGAGAGUCUGAACCAGCCAAGUGGCGUGAAGGAUGACUGCCCUAUGGGUUGUAAACUUCUUUUAUAUGGGAAUAAAACGUUCCACGUGUGGGAUUUUGUAUGUACCAUAUGAAUAAGGAUCGGCUAACUCCGUGCCAGCAGCCGCGGUAAUACGGAGGAUCCGAGCGUUAUCCGGAUUUAUUGGGUUUAAAGGGAGCGUAGGUGGAUUGUUAAGUCAGUUGUGAAAGUUUGCGGCUCAACCGUAAAAUUGCAGUUGAAACUGGCAGUCUUGAGUACAGUAGAGGUGGGCGGAAUUCGUGGUGUAGCGGUGAAAUGCUUAGAUAUCACGAAGAACUCCGAUUGCGAAGGCAGUUCACUGGACUGCAACUGACACUGAGGCUCGAAAGUGUGGGUAUCAAACAGGAUUAGAUACCCCAGUAGUC